CUACGGAGGGUGCGAGCGUUGUUCGGAAUUAUUGGGCGUAAAGAGCAUGUAGGCGGUCUGUUAAGUCUGGUGUGAAAGCCCGGGGCUCAACCCCGGAAGUGCAUUGGAUACUGGCGGACUUGAGUAUGGGAGAGGAAAGCGGAAUUCCGAGUGUAGGAGUGAAAUCCGUAGAUAUUCGGAGGAACACCAGUGGCGAAGGCGGCUUUCUGGACCAAUACUGACGCUGAGAUGCGAAAGCGUGGGGAGCGAACAGGAUUAGAAACCCCAGUAGUCC
rnacentral:rRNA from 1 species